rnacentral:lncRNA from 1 species
UUCAUGUUGUUGAUCGGAGUUUUGAAAAUUCGUGGAAGUAUUUAAAAAGCGCCCUGUACAGAUUAUAUGUCAAAUCAUGGCUUCUCCACCUGUUUCCAUGUUGUCUGCUGUUGGAAGAACAUCUAUGAGGGACUGUGAAUAGAAUCUUUAUCUUCUGCUUAUAUACAACACUUACUCAUGGGCCAGUGGCACAGUUUCUAGCUGUACAAGGAUAUCAUGGUGUUUGAUAAGUUGAUGACAAUGAAACUAAUGAUC